GUGACAUAUUGCUGGUUGCAACACCACGGUGAUGUUACUUUUUGCCUUCUCACUGCCCUCAGAAGGCAUUGUGAUAUGUUGGUGGUCCCAGCUUCAAAGAAAUGCCCAGCUGAUGUGACUCUUCUGCCUGGGCUUUAUUCUUAGGGGUUUGUGACAUAUCUCUGCAUUCAUCAACUGUUUGAUGAGAACUCUCCUCUCUCACCUGGGCUUUGCUCAAAAGAAAGACAGUGAAAUAUCUCUGGACCCAGCACCUAGGUUCCGUGACUCUCCUGUCUGUGCCCUGCCUACAUGGAUUAUUGUGACAUAUUGCUGGGUCCAACACCCAGGUCUCUGCUCACAGGGGGGAUUUUGAUGUAUCGCUUUCUGCCUGUAGAAAAGAUUGUAACAUAAUGCUGGGCCCAACUUCAAGGUGGCAUUACUUUUUUGACUUGGCCUUGCUCUCAGAAGACAUUAUAACAUACUGCUGGGCCCAGAACCAAGGUGAUGUUAAGUCUUCUGACUAAAACCUACCCACAGAAGACAUUGUGACAUAUCUCUGGGCCCAUCAACUAUUUGAUGUGACUCUACUCUUAUCUGAGUUUUUUUAAUAAAAGAGAUUUUGACAUAUCUUUGGGCCCAGCACCUAGGUGAUUUGACUCUCU
rnacentral:lncRNA from 10 species